CUUGGAGGUUAUUUGUCUCUACCCUCCCCAGGGGAAAUAAUCUCAAUAUUAUGAGCAACAGCAUUGCUGAAGAGAACAUGCAAAAACCUGGAAAAUGCAUGAUUUUAUCAUCAGAAGCAAGGUCAUCCAAACCCAGAGACGACUACAUUCAAUAUUAAUAUCUCCCUUUCUCCAAGCAGGGUUUGAGCCUCAUGGUAACCAUCCGUUCCCCAGAGAAAUGUCUUCCAGUAACUUUGAUGUGAACUAAUUAAGUUUGCACAGCUAAUAAGUGCCAUCUGCCUGCCGCAACGCUGCCUGAGACUCCGCAGGCUGGGAGAGGAUGGGCUGGCUCAUCUCACGACACCUGCUGUGCCAGCACCCUCGCUCUGCAUUCCCCUGCAGCUCACAAGCCCGACAGGGAUCCGGCAAAGGAAACAUGGCACAACCGUGAAGACGGAGCCCCAGAUGGAUGCCUCCCUCCUGAUAUGUGCAACAGUCUUCUUUGAGCCUCAGUUUAUUCUUAUUUCCAGGAACUCCAUUUGUUUCUGCUGGUCCAGCCCUACGCCUUUGUGUACAAUGCUCUAAUGAGGUCUAUUCCACUGCUACAAAGAGCACAUCGACCACACCGCUCAAUUUAUUUCUGCUUGGAGCAUCCAAGAUCUAAUUCUCAAAAAGAGUUUGAAAAGAUCUAUUAAGAGUAUAGCACCAAUUGGUAAACAAUGUCCGUUUCUGGACCGGCCUCAGCAAUCCAAUCAGCGAAGGCAUUUCAGGACACCGUGUACAAUAUCGGAAAAUGAAAUUGCUUUGAAAAAAUCCCUCCUUGCUUAUUUGCCAGAUAAUGACAGAAAAGCUGAUGCCAAGCACAGCCAAUCUGUCCUAGCGUGUUCAGAGAGACAGUCCUUAUGCUGAGGCAUCCUUUUUUUCCCCUCCUCAUCUGCCUGAACACAUCCCACCCAUCAGUCCCCACCCUCAACUGGGCCCAGGAGCACCCCAGAGGCUCCUGGUGGCCAUCAGGGCAGCAAAAUACCCUGCACUGCACAACCAGGUACUUUUAAGAACUAUUGGAUGCUUCUCUGCAUGCAGAAAUAUCAAGAUAAAAAACAGAAGAAAGGCAAGGCAACCCAGCACGCUAAGCUCAGAGAGGUAAGCUUCAUUUGGGGAGCUCCAGGCUCAGCUCCCUGCUGUGUCAGACUCCCCAUAUGCCUGCUGCCCACCUUACGACCAGAUUAACACUCCCAACAAGGGUACGGCCUCACACACCCACCAACAGACCCCAGACAACCUGCAGCGGGUCCUUCACUGGCAAAGCCUGAAGCAGCGCCAUCCGUGCAGCCCACGCCUGCCCCCGCUGCCUUCCCGAGCACUCUCUUAUCUCACCUCAUGCUCUGCCCCGUCCCUUCCCCCGUGAACUUCCAUAUAAUAGCUGAAAAAUUUGACAAGCCUAACUUUAAUCACGUUCUAACCCGGGUUGGUAUCAUUAAUCUCACAGCCUCUGAUGUGUAAUUUAAUUAGGGUGCAUUUGUAAUGAAUUACAAUCAUCAUUUAGCGCUAUUGUUCCUAACACGAGCAGAGGGGAGUCACAAAACUGGCAUCAUUGAUCUUCUUAAUUACACUCGUACACUCCGCAAGCCACCCCCAGCCCCAGCCUCUCGGCGCUGGUUUGACAGAUGCAGGAGCACACGGGCACCUGGAGCCCCUCGCCAAGCCCAGCAAACAUCUCCCUCCCAACAACUACCGGCUCUGCAGAACGGGACCUUUGGCAAAGCAAGCGUCAAACCCUCAGCACACAGCUCAGAGCUGAAGCACAGGGAAAUCCAAACUCGGGACAGAACCAGAGCAUCUCUUUCAGCUCCCUUUCCCACCAGCUGUAUGUGAUACAGACGUUAAGAUGCAAAGCAGCCAUUCGGUGUGACUAAAUGGGCCGAAGUAUCCCAACAGCCCUCCCAGAUAAAAGAUAUUCAAACACGUUCCCUUGAUGGAUGCAUAGCCGCACCAACGCCACACGCACAUGAAAGACCGCAGUCAUUAACAACGUCCUAACGGAGGCAGAAUGAUGUGCCACGGAGCUUUCAAUCUAUCUCCACAACACAGCACCAGAAAUUUCCAGCCCCAAAUGUUUGUCUCCGUCCAGCUCCUUCGCUGCUCCACGCAGGAGGCACGGCAGCGAGCACAUGUAUUUAUUUCAGACCUGACUUCAGCCUGCAAAAUAGGAGCAAUCUGGUGAGGUGGCCGAGCACCAGCCCAUCUCCUCGGUAUCUCCAUGCACAACACACGGACUCUUCACCGCAGACAUGAGUCGUGGCGUCCCCGUUCUGGUGGGCAGCCCCACCUGCUUUUGAAUGAAACGUCUCUGAAGAGCUGCUCAACUUCUGUUGGUCUCGGCAAAGUGUUUUAUACAAAAUGUAACAGCUCAUUUAUGUAGGACUGGAGGAAAACAAGCCCUACAUCUCUCCUCCAUCAGGGUGGCCAGGACCCUUCUCUGGGUGUUUGGGAACAUCAGCCCCCAGUCUGAAGAAGAUUUGGGUUUCCAGACCCCCGUGUAAGCAAGAGGAAGGGCUGUCCCCCCACCGGGACACCAGCUGGCUGUUCGGGCUGCAUUUCCCUGCGAGGAGGCAGGACCGAGGUCAGAUCUUUGACAGCAGAAGAGGAAAUCAUCGUUUUCUCUCAGGCUUUACAGCAACUCCAUGUGAAUUGAGUAAAAACCUUCCCAAAGUGUUUUUUUUUUUUUUGUUUUAUUUUAAUUCCAAUUAAUUUUGUCAGAUAUCAUGAAGAACUAUUUCCUACACACGGAAUUUGCCUUCAGAUUGAACAAUCCCUGGGCGAGGCACAACACUGUUUUUUGGCAAACUUCUUUUUUUUUUUUUUUUUUUUUUUAAAUAAAGGUUUGAAAAGGAGCUUAUCAAUUUGGACUUGCAAGCCAUACCUCUGUGCCAGCAAAAUGAGCAAGAAAAAUUAUUAAAUACAAGUGUAAAUCCUCCGUGGCAGUUUAAUACGAUGAGGGAAUGAAUCGACGUGGCUCAGAGCAAAGGAUAAUCGCGCCUCUGUGAUUUGUUAGUGCUCUUUCCAAGAGUUAACGGAACAGUUGGAUAAAGAAAAUCUGUUUAAAACAUUUUUUAGACUUUCAAAAAAAAUUAUAAAAACACCAUGAGAAAAAAGAAAGGAAAAAAAGGGAAAAAAGCACUCCCAUUGUUUAAAUCUGAGCGAGUGAUACAGAGGCCAGAGCAGGAAUGAACAGUCCCUGGAUGGUCAGGAGGUUGGGGAAAGCCAGGCCAGAAAGGCAGAACCACACUCCUGUUGUCUGGCAGAGCUUUAACUUCCUACACGGUGGAUCUCAGCGGCAAACUCCUCUGCUGAUGCUAUGUCAUUUGGGCUGCUGAGAAUGAGAGGGGGUGAAAUGGAAAGGAACAACACCUCACUGAUUAGGUAUCCCAUUAGCAGGUAAAAUUUAUCCUAAGUAAUGUGAAAUAAUGGGUGGUUUGAUUAUCUAAAUAUGUUAAUGGUGAUUUAAAUAGUUAGAACCACUUUGAAAGGAGUUAGAAAUGACACAGAUGCAUUCAGAGAAGACAGUGCGAUGGGUAAUGAUGAGCAAGAAAGCAGACAACACCGGACAGUACUGAACAUAAAAUAGGGAACAGUCUGGAAAAUACAAUAAUGCAACUUUUUUAACUAGUGGCUUUUACUUAUCUGAAGUACCGUGCACUUUAUUUAAGAUAGGCCCAGGGGAGUACUGAAAAGCACUAGAGAGGAAAGAAAGAGGCUUCCAUU